rnacentral:misc_RNA from 1 species
UUUGGGAACUAAAGGAAUAGUAUUUAGUUGUCAAGUUAGUGGAUGAUGUUUUUGCGUGUUCUCUUGGCGUAGAUCUUGAAAUAGGUGUAGAUAUAUCCUUUUUUUUUAUUUGAGUAAGAUAAUAAAAGAGUAGAGUUGAAAAUGGAAAUAUGAGAGAUUUAUGAUCCUAGGUAUGGUGGUUUAAUGAAAUUUUGGAAAUGGUAGUACUUUUUGUCAAUGAAAGUGCUUGCCGAAGUUGAAAAUAAAGAAG